rnacentral:rRNA from 1 species
CAGCCGCCACGGUAAUACGUAGGGUGCGAGCGUUGUCCGGAAUUACUGGGCGUAAAGGGCUCGUAGGUGGUUUGUCGUGUCGUCUGUGAAAUUCCGGGGCUUAACUCCGGGCGUGCAGGCGAUACGGGCAUAACUUGAGUACUGUAGGGGUAACUGGAAUUCCUGGUGUAGCGGUGAAAUGCGCAGAUAUCAGGAGGAACACCGAUGGCGAAGGCAGGUUACUGGGCAGUUACUGACGCUGAGGAGCGAAAGCAUGGGUAGCGAACAGGAUUAGAUACCCCAGUAGUCCCUGUCUCUUAUA